UACGAAGGGGGCUAGCGUUGCUCGGAAUUACUGGGCGUAAAGGGCGCGUAGGCGGAUACUUAAGUUGGGGGGUGAAAGCCCGGGGCUCAACCUCGGAAUUGCCUUCAAUACUGGGUAUCUUGAGUUCGGGAGAGGUGAGUGGAACUCCGAGUGUAGAGGUGAAAUUCGUAGAUAUUCGGAAGAACACCAGUGGCGAAGGCGACUCACUGGCCCGAUACUGACGCUGAGGCGCGAAAGCGUGGGGAGCAAACAGG
rnacentral:rRNA from 1 species